GAAAAAAAACGGAGCUAGAGACGAACGCGGUUAUUAAAAGACAGUUUGCCGCCUGCAUGUAUGCGAGCACGCAGAGUCUUAAGUCUUCAUUUCAACCUUGUGGACCUUGCUGGCAGCACCGACUAUUUUUAUCAUCUAGUCUCAAACUCUCGCAAUACGCGAGCGAGUAAUCUAUCUAUCUUGAGCGGCGUGAAACACGAUUGAAUUAUAGUACUUACAAGCAAGGUCGAUACAUUUACCAAAGGUCGACUUUUGUUCCAUGAAUUUAUAUCAAGGAUCUCUUUCAUCUAUAAAUAAGUUUAUUUAACGAUCGAUGGUGGACCUUUUUAAACUUUUUCAAGCCAAUUUACCGAAUUGGCGGAAUAUCACGAUAUUGCCCGUUGUACGUGUAAUAUGAAGAAUAUUACAAGCUAGUGCUAUGCAACAGUUAGAUCAAUGGACAUUGAACACACUGCUCUAACUGGCUUGAUGCUGCUCGGGUACCCUCGAUAAAAAUGCACGAUCGUGAUACGAAUAAUCACAACGUUUUCAAAUACAGCUGUAGUCCGAUCGCGUUUCUGAUGCUAAAUGGGUAAUAUCCGAGCGUUUCCUUGAAUGAAUUCAUAUCCAGCGAUCGAACCGAUUUGCAAUUAUAAUCAAACUCAUACAUUUUGAUUCUCAGCUAGUGAAUUAUAAGAUGCAAUGGUAUUGAUACUAUAGCAAGAAUAAAUAUAAUUGCGAUUAAAGUCUUGUACACAUUUAUUCAACAAUGAAAAAAAAAA
rnacentral:lncRNA from 1 species